AGUGAACGCUGACGGUAGGCCUAACACAUGCAAGUCGAACGGCAGCACAGUAAGAGCUUGCUCUUACGGGUGGCGAGUGGCGGACGGGUGAGGAAUACAUCGGAAUCUACUUUUUCGUGGGGGAUAACGUAGGGAAACUUACGCUAAUACCGCAUACGACCUACGGGUGAAAGCAGGGGAUCUUCGGACCUUGCGCGAUUGAAUGAGCCGAUGUCGGAUUAGCUAGUUGGCGGGGUAAAGGCCCACCAAGGCGACGAUCCGUAGCUGGUCUGAGAGGAUGAUCAGCCACACUGGAACUGAGACACGGUCCAGACUCCUACGGGAGGCAGCAGUGGGGAAUAUUGGACAAAGGGCGCAAGCCUGAUCCAGCCAUACCGCGUGGGUGAAGAAGGCCUUCGGGUUGUAAAGCCCUUUUGUUGGGAAAGAAAAGCAGCAGGUUAAUACCCCGCUGUUCUGACGGUACCCAAAGAAUAAGCACCGGCUAACUUCGUG
rnacentral:rRNA from 1 species